ensembl:lncRNA
AGAAACUCCAAUUCUGUUCUUUUUUAUGAUUAUCUCAUUCUUGGGCCUGUAUAUUUCCUCAUAAAUUUUGGAAGCAGAUUGUCAAUUUCUGAAACAAAAUAAACUGAUGAUAGUUUUAUUUGGAUUAUAUUGAUCUACAGAUCAGUUUGUAGAGAAAGUCACUUAUCUUUUCUAUGUCCUAGAUCCGUCUUCUGAAAAAACAAGACAAAAAUACUCACUGAGCAAUUAUGAGUGUUACAUCAGACAGUGUAUUUGCAAACUGGAAAAAAAUAACCCACUAUAGAAAUGCUGGAUAUUUGUUACAAAACGAGAAGCAACACGUGCAAGGGCUGGGGAGAAAUCCGCCUGCAGCAGAUUUAAAAAGGUUGCAGCAAAGCUGGAGUGUGGUCGCUGUUGGCUCCUCCCCUCACGCUGGCUGGGAAGGCACAGGCGGGGGUUCAGGGGAGAGAAGAGGCCACUUUGCAGGGACUCCCCGUGUCAGCACUGGCGUCACAUCCCAGCGGCCAUCACAGCUCCUUAUGACAUUGUCUAAGUGUUUGCCUUCUCACGUCUUCCACUCUGUAGCCGGGAAACUGAGCAUAGAAUCCAUUAUGACUUAUUUUUCAAGUACGCCUGCUGCGCGUCAGGGCCAGGUCCGCGUGGAUCUGCCUUUCCACGUGUUCUGCAUAGAACGUCACACCUGGAGAGGAGAUGACCAUGCACCACCAACGGGGAAAGGACUUCUUCCAUUGACCAUGCCUCCUCGGUCCCCUGGAGCGUGUGCUGAGUUAAGCUGAGGCCGUUUAUGUGUGUUUGCGUGACUAGGGCAUGGAUUGGAGGCAGUCUCCCUUCCCCAGAGGCAGCCCGUUGGAAAACAGGAGGGUCUGAGACUUCACGCUCUGCGACCCUCAGCCCUGACUCUCCUUUCAGAGGCUUUCUGUGGACCCCUUGAACAAAUACCUUUUGCCAAAGAGGAAGCCCCAGGCUGAAACAGAGAAGCACUGGGACCCUACAGCACUUGCUUUUCGUGGGGCAUUCUCAUCCCUUCUCUCUGCCUCUUCAGGGGCUGUCCACAGAGCCCCGCGCACAGGGGGCAGUGUUGGCAGAGCCCCUGACAUUGUCCCAAGUGCCACAGGCCUGUCUCCCAAGGGCCGGGGCGCCCCAGUGGCCCCCAGCACUCGGCCCUUCCCGUGCACCGAGAGGAAGCGCAGGAGCGGGGUGAGCGCUGAGCGGAGGAAGCGCGAGCCGGAGCCCGAGGAUGCGGGGCCCGCCUGGCUGUCUGCAGCAGAGUCUGCGUGUCCUCACAGGGCAGGGCCCGGGCGGCUGACUUGGCGUCCCAUCCCCUUCACAGUCCUGGCGGGCCUGGGGGCAAGCGGCUGCGAGGAGCGUGGGCUUUGCCAGGAGGGCUGGCGGUACAGGCCCGGGGUUGUAUUUGUCCCAGCGCCGCGCUGCUCCUCCAGGGACUGUGGCAGGGAUGCUGGCCAGAGCACCGCCUGCCCUGCGCUGAGGGGAACCAGACGGCAGCCCCGCCGCCGCGGCCCGCCCUGCCCAGCAGCAGCCAGAAGGCCGGUCCCUGGGGGGGAGGAAGGAAGACAGCGGAGAGAAUCAGACAAAGGAAGACCACCAUAAACCAGCAGCAUGUCUGUAAUCAGGAGGGCCCUUUGUUGAGAGCUGGUCUAAACAAGUUGUGAUCCCCUGGAAGGGGGCCAUAAACCGAAGCCAAAAUAAAGGUGUUUACAGCAAGGGAGACGGACGGGCUGCGGCCUCGUUUGGCCGCGAUGGGGGGGUACUGGUGGCCCUAAGGCCCCGCCUGCGCUCGGGGGACGCGUCCGAACAUCACAGAACAUCACAGACGCAAGCGCAGGGGAAGGGGGAGGCGCGGGAUGGGGGCGCCCAGGGACCCUCCCACAUUCCGGCCUGGGGGAGAGAGAGGGCAGGGUGCCAGGUCUGUGUGACAGCUGGAGAUUCAUGGCCAGAGGCCUGGAGAUCUUCGCCCAGCUUCUCCACUCCUCUACAAAGUCCUUUAUAAUGGACUCGAGGGAGUCACACUCCUAAGAGGGUUUGAGGGCAGUUGUUUCUUAAAGUAAUGCCUCUUAGGCCCAACUUAUCAGCCUGGAAAUGUGUGAGGAGGAAGUUUCACCCCAGGAUCCACCUUCGUCAGGGAAGCUUCGUGCCGUCUGUGAGCCAUGAGCAGAUGGGCAGCUGUUGGUGAAGUGCUGGAGGCCGGAAGUCGGAGAUCAAGGUGCCAGCAGUUCCAUUCAUUGAAGCGCUCUUUGGCUUGCAACUUUGACCUACUUUGCCUCAUCUGUAAUGGGCUCUGGUAUCUAAGCAAUGCAUCUCAGCUGAGCUAAGACUGUUAUCAGCUCCACAUUGACUGAUAGUAAAGAUAUAGAUGCUACGACCCAGAAACCCAGCUCCUGAAACAUACCUAAUAGAAACGCAUGCACACGUCCACCUGCACACAACUACAAAAGAAUGUGCUAACAAGAUUGAUCACAACAGCCAAAUAUUGGAAACAAUUCAAAUGUUCAUCAGCAGCUAAACAAUAAAUACAUAGUUGAAUAUUGAUUAUUGGACAGUCACACAGCAAUGAAGAUGAAUAAACCAUAGCUACAUUCAGUAAUGUGGGUGAAUAUUACAAAAGUAAAGUUGGUGAAGGAAGCAAGAGAAACAAGAAUACACGUAUUAUUUAUAAACUGUGUUGCUAAAGGAUGUACACGCAGAUGUUAAAGAAAACGACAACAGGAAGAGUGAAAAUACAAACAUGUUAAACAUUACAAUCAACCAUGAAGCAUGUGCUCAUCAUAGAAGACAGGAUAUGGUCAUCUUGGUGGGGAGGGGGAAAUAAACGAGAAGGGACACAUGGACACGUUGGGCAUUCCCAAAAUGCUCUGUUUAUCAGGCUGGUUUGACGAAUGCACAGGUAUACAAUGUAAAAUUAUUUAUUAAACCGAACAUUUAUUUAUGUGCACCUUUCUGGAUAUGUUUUAUAUUUCUCACUUAAAGUUAAAAUAAAGUUAAUUAAAGGGAUUUUAAAAAGGUAUGGGAAACAUAAUGUCCUUUGUAUUGUCUAUAAAUAAAAACAUAUCACUUAUAAAACAGCCAUUGUGGACCUAAUUGUCCG